CCUACGGGUGGCAGCAGUGGGGAAUAUUGCUCAAUGGGGGAAACCCUGAUGCAGCGACGCCGCGUGAGUGAAGAAGUAUUUCGGUACGUUAAGCUCUAUCAGCAGGGAAGAAAAUGACGGUACCUGACUCAGAAGCCCCGGCUAACUACGUGCCAGCAUCCGCGGUAACACGUAGGGGGCACGCGUUAUCCGGAUUUACUGGGUGUAAAGGGGGCGUAGGCGGCAGGGCAAGUCUGGUGUGAAAUCCCAUGGCUUAACCAUGGAACUGCUUUGGAAACUGGGCAGCUGGAGUGCAGGAGAGGUAAGCGGAAUUCGUAGUGUAGCGGUGAAAUGCAUAGAUAUUAGGAGGAACACCGAUGGCGAAGGCAGCUUACUGGACUGUAACUGACGUUGAGGCACGAAAGCGUGGGGAGCGAACAGGAUUAGAUACCCGGGUAGUC
rnacentral:rRNA from 1 species